UGGAGGUACUAAGCUUAACGAUGC
rnacentral:siRNA from 1 species